rnacentral:lncRNA from 1 species
AUGAGUCUCGCAGAGCGGCACCAUCUGGGAACCCUCGGGUCUCUGCUGAGUGACGACGACUCUGGGCGCCCCGCCCUGCACGCAUGCGUGCCUCUCCAUGCCAGACACCGAGGUUGGAAAGCUGGCUGCUCCCCGGCCGGCUUCUGCGUGCAGGUCAUCCAGAGGCUGCAUGCGCCCCCACCGCGGACCCUGACCACGGCCGUGCAGAGGGCUCGGCACGCCUGCUGCUCCCCUGGAGCCCCGAGCAGGCCCAACAGCGCAGCACCCAGCACCCAGGCCCCCGUCCUCAGUGCUUCCCACACGCCCGGCAAGACCUCGGAAGGCGGGGACAGCCCACGGAAACCUCGUGGGGAAGAGGCUGUCCUCGACGGGCCACGCCGGCCACAGCAGAGGGGGCAGAGUCCCCUGCCCCAAGGCCCCCUAGGGGCCUUCCCUGGAAACGCGAUCCCUGGGGGCAGGGGUCGGAUCCAGUGCAGCAGGGGCUCAGAACAGGCGCGGCCCAGGGCCUCCGGUUCCCACAGGACACAAGCCGGGAAGCCAGGGCACAGCGUGCCCUGCAGCGUGGGCCGAGCGGGGACCGGAGCCGCACUGCCUCAGGGUCAGGACGUUCCCUCUGAGGGGCCUGAAAGCUGGGCUGAGCUUAGGAUCAGUCGCAUCUCCAGGGUGCGCCAGGCCCCAGCUGGCUGCAGCCCAGUCCAGGGACGUGGUCAGGACGUGUGCCUGCCCCACUGCUGCGCGGCUGCUCCCAGCGGGCAGGAGGCUGGGAAGGCCGAAGUGACAGCGGGGACUGGGCCGCUCUUCCGGGGAGCCGGGGCCACCCUCGAGCGGCGGAAGUGGUCACUCCCUGGGCCCCGCCCCGGGGUCCUGUGCUGCUGCCGCCACCCUGAGCGUAAGCGGACCCUCAGAACUUGCACUGAGGCCGCCUCCGUGCCCCUCCCUCAGGGAGCACCGCCUCGCCAACCCCUCCCACGCAGGACCCGCCCUCCACGCUCCUUUCCCAGUGGGACGAGCACCCCCGGGGCCCGCCCAGCUCAGCCACUCAUGUCUUACAACUUCCCUCGCACAGCUUGA